GGCUGGAGCAGGGGUGAGGACAGUCCUUGGACCACAUCUCCCAUGAGAUGUUCAGCAGCUGGGUUACCCCUUGUCUGUACUGCAGUGGCCUUCGAAAACCACUAGUACAAGAGCAUUUUGCACUAUUUCUCCGCUCUCUUUCUCUUCCCCCUUCUCUUUUUCUCUGCCUUCUCCAUGAGAAAAAAAAAAAAAAGGUUUUUUUCCCUUGUUGGUGUUCUUUUUUUUUUUUUUCCCGUUUGUUUUCGGUUUUGUUGUUGUUUUUUUUUUUUUUUUUUUUUUCCAGUAAACGAGAAAUAAAUCUUACUGGUGGGAAAAAAAAAAAAAAAAAAAGCAGUUUGUGAAAAACUGACCAUGGAAGAAGAGCUUAAUGCUCUGUUUAGCAUUUUGUACUUAAAAAAAAAAAAAAAAUCUCACAUUUUAUUAAAAAGUGAAGAUUGCUGUAUACUAUUUAUUCAACUUAUAAUUUAUGUUACUCUUUGAUCUUUGUCUUUUCUCAUGACAAAGCAUUUAUUUAAUAAAGUUAUGCAU
rnacentral:lncRNA from 7 species